AUCCCAUGGUGUGGACACUUCCUAAGCAUCCCCUUGAAUCAUUCCCAUGCUUCAUACAAAGAUUCCAUCUCAAAUUGAGCAAAAGUAGUGAUAUCAUUAAUUAGCUU
rnacentral:snoRNA from 1 species